CCUACGGGAGGCAGCAGUGAGGAAUAUUGGUCAAUGGCGGCAACGCUGAACCAGCCAAGUAGCGUGAGGGAUUACGGCCCUACGGGUCUUAAACCUCUUUUGUUGGGGAGCAACCUGUGCCACUUGUGGCACACUGCGAGUACCCUUCGAAUAAGCAUCGGCUAACUCCGUGCCAGCAGCCGCGGUAAU
rnacentral:rRNA from 1 species